rfam:Schistosoma mansoni strain Puerto Rico chromosome 1, complete genome
AUCCAGCUGAUGAGUCCCAAAUAGGAUGAAACACGCGUCCUGGAU